CGUAGUGACUGCGGAGAUCAUUAUCGAGUUUUGAAUGGGUUGUCUGCUGGCUCGCAAGGGCAUGUGCACGCCUGUCUCAUCCACUCUCAACUUCUGUGCACUUUUCAUAGGCCGGCUUGUGGGUGCGUUCGCGCACUUGUAGGUGUCGGGCUUAUGCUUUACUACAAACGAUUCAGUUUUAGAAUGUCAUACUUUGCUAUAACGCAAUUAUAUACAACUUUCAGCAACGGAUCUCUUGGCUCUCGCAUCGAUGAAGAACGCAGCGAAAUGCGAUAAGUAAUGUGAAUUGCAGAAUUCAGUGAAUCAUCGAAUCUUUGAACGCACCUUGCGCUCCUUGGUAUUCCGAGGAGCAUGCCUGUUUGAGUCUCAUGGAAUUCUCAACCUUCAGCUUUAUUGAUGAAGGCUUGGACUUGGAGGUCGUGCCGGCUCUCGUAGUCGGCUCCUCUGAAAUGCAUUAGUGCGAACGUUACCAGCCGCUUCAGCGUGAUAAUUAUCUGCGUUGCUGUGGAGGGUAUUCUAGUGUUCACGCUUCUAACCGUCUUCGGACAAAUUUCUGAACUCUGAGCUCAAAUCAGGUAGGACUACCCGCUGAACUUAAGCUAUAAAACCGGGGGGGAAA
rnacentral:rRNA from 1 species